AAGCUGUCGUGUGUGUCACUUCAGGCCUUUUCCUGUUUGAGUUUCCUCCAGACAGCAGACGUUCCUGCUGGGAAUUACUGGGAUGAGCACUAUCUGCACACUGCAGACCCAAAUUUACCCAAACUGCACUCUGGACAGGAAGCUAUUGAUCAUCUUCACGUGGGAGGUAAGACCAGAAAAACUAAUUAUGGCUCAGAAAACUCAGACGCAGCUUGAGUGUAUUUUUGGGGUUUAAUAUAAACUCGAACUAUGCGGCCAGUCGAUAUUAAAAACACUGACGAGUCAUCUUUACAUAUCUAAUCUUUGAAGAGGAAAGUAUUUCAUGUUUGAGGAGUGCUUCUUCUGAAUUAGAGCAUGUUUGACAUGAGAUUCCUCACAUUCUUCAGCGGUGAUAAGCGCAAACAUGGCAUGAGGAACUUGCAGCAGAUUUUUUAUACACGCGUGCAUUCUUUGAAUAACAGGGAAAUAACUCUGGAUGGAGAUGACAGAAGUUUACACAAGAGUUUACGAGAAGUUUACACAAGAAUCUCAUUUAAUCUUGGAACGGUUUGUAUUUGUUGCAGAUAUUGCUCUUAAAAUAACUGGAGAAUAAUCAGAGGAAAAAAGUAUCAAAGGAAUGACAUCUUAAGAAAGUUCAGCCGCUGUCAAUACAAAAGUAAAUAAGAAAGCUAAAAAUCAAACAGUGUCUUGUUUUUCAAAGGUUUCGUUCAAGUUUUACUUCUUCCACAUUCACUUUUUUUUUUUUUAUUACAUUAAAUAAAUGCCAGGAAAUCCAGCCGUGUAAAUAUUUGACAAAUCCAGAGUUUCAUGACGCAACAGAGAUAUCUCGUUUUUCCAGCUGUCUUUUCCAUCACUGUUUAUUGUUGAUGAUAUUUUCACCUGAAACUCUGAUAUCAUCCUCUUGUUUUUCCUUCAGGAAGUUCCUGCGACUGCUCAUUAAUUGUUGCUGAGGGGCCGCGGACUCAGGAAAACAAGUUGGAAUAACAGCUUUGAGAUUUUGAAGGGGCAAAAAACAAGAGCUGCAAGCAGACGAUACAGAUGUAACUCCAUUUGAUCGAGUGUAAUUCACAUUUUUUGCACUGCAGAUUAUUCCUGCAUUCAACAUUGCAGCGUGUUUUGUAAUAUCGUCCUGGG